rnacentral:lncRNA from 1 species
UCUAGAAUUAUCAUUGAAAUUUCAAGGAAAUAGGAUGUGAAAAUCCCCUUUGGAUUUUUUGCAUACUGGCAACUCUUAAAUAUGUGCUUAGUUUGUUUGUGUUAAGUGAUGCGUAGAAAUGUCCGGUAGAGGGCCGCCAAAGACGAAGAUAGAAGAUCUCAUUCCGACUAGCACCGGCAUCUAGAGAGGUUCUCUUUUGUGGCCGCGCAUAUCAAAAUACAUAAUUACAGUAAACAUACCAAAGGCAUGUUCUUUUGAUAUAUUGGGCGUUAAAGGCGGCACAGCAUUGUAAUUAAAUUGACCAUAAAACACGUAUGAAAUGUAAUUUAAUUAAUCUUUAAAUAAAAAAAACUUUAAAAAUUAAAAAUUAAAAUAUUUAUUAAAAUUUAUUUUCUUGUGAAUUCUUGGUUAGGGAUAUGUCAAUGUGCGGACAUAUCCCAUACUUUUUGCCUUCCAUAAUCUCUUUGAUUUGGACCAGAAUUGUGUCUUGCUGCAUGAGCAGCUGCUGCUGCUGCAUGAGCAUCUGCUCCAUAUUUAUUGUUGUUUGUGGUGGAGCUGACAAAGGGGAAGAUGUGGUGGAGACAGGGGAGGCAGAGGUUGCUGCAUGCAAUGAAAAAACAGCAAAAUAUUUAAAAAUGAUGGCAUCCUUGCUUUUAACUGAAACUUACCAUUGUGGUCACGCCACCAAUACUUUUUCACAAGGGGCCAGAUGAAAUAUUUUAUGGCUAUCAUCAGUAAGAGGCCGAAAGUGCCUUGCAAGAAUGGUAUUUCUUAUUUUUUUUUCAAAACGUCGGCCACAUCAGCAGAAAACUUAUCAGAAAUACGUGUCUUACCUUUCCCAAAGUAGUUUGGGUUGCCACAUCGUAUUAGUAAACUACAACAUGGAAGAAAAUAAGGAAAGGGGACUAUGGUAAGUGAAAUUGAUGUCAUUUUAAAGAAAUCCAUUGAAAUUUUUGCUUUCAAAAUCAGGUACAAUGGCAAGUUAACUAAAGUGGAUCUUCAGUCCCGAACCAAAAGAAAGAUUACUUAGACGCUCAUGCAAGAUUAUUUCGAUUAUGAAAAAUGAACUGCCAUAUGUGAGAUGAAAUAUAAUGAGAUGAAAUGAAUGAAUUAUGAAUGAAUGAAAUAUACAACAACAACAAACAAAUACUUUUCAAAAUUUUUAUUUAGAUAAGGAACCUCGAUUGCAAUCCACCUUCAAGAAAAUACACACGGAAUGUUUGAACAUUGAUAUCAUCUUGCAUCUCAGUCGUGUGAUGGCCCCAUCAUUGGGGACUGGCUCCCGGGCAGAUCUUGCUCUUCCUCAAUUUUUCUGGCUAAUUGAGAUAGCACCACCUGCACUUCUUUCUGUAAAUAAUCAACACGAUAAAUUAAAAUGUUUUUUGGGCAAUGAAGGGGGAUUGGGUAAGGUGAUAACUUACCACAGUCAGUGACACCUGCUUGCCUCCUGAAAGCUUGUCUUCUUGAAUUUAAAUUUUGAUCUCUCCUCGUGCUCACACCAACACCUGGCUCUCUUUUGCCCACCAGCUUCGUCAGAAGAGUUUCCCAUUUCGAGAUCAUCCUGCGGUUUCUUUGCAGGUUACUUGAACCCUGCAUGAGAAAAAAGAUUUGGAAAAAAGAUUUUAAAUUUUUUUAAAAUUUAGGGCACAAAUAAGGAUACUUACUCUUUGGUUUUGGCCAAUCCCAUUUU